CGCGCGGAGGACGGGAGGAGCGCGGCGCGGCGGGCGGGCGGGCCGAGCGGGGACGGGCUGCCGGCGGGAGGGAGACAUGGACCGCAGCGAGCAAGGUCUGCUGAGAACAGACCCAGUACCUGAGGAAGGAGAAGAUGUUGCUGCCACAAUUGGUGCCACCGAGACUCUGUCAGAGGACGAGCGAGAGGAGCUGAGAAGAGAGCUUGCAAAGGUAGAAGAAGAAAUCCAGACUCUGUCUCAAGUGUUAGCAGCAAAAGAGAAGCACCUAGCGGAGAUCAAGCGGAAACUUGGGAUCAAUUCACUACAGGAACUAAAACAGAACAUUGCCAAAGGGUGGCAAGAUGUGACAGCUACAUCUGCGUAUAAGAAGACCUCUGAAACCUUAUCUCAGGCCGGACAGAAGGCUUCAGCUGCUUUUUCGUCUGUUGGCUCUGUCAUCACCAAAAAGCUGGAAGAUGUAAAAUUGCAAGCCUUUUCACAUUCCUUUAGCAUACGCUCCAUUCAACACUCAAUUAGCAUGCCUGCUAUGAGAAACUCCCCAACUUUCAAAUCAUUUGAAGAAAAGGUCGAAAACUUAAAGUCUAAAGUCGGGGGAAACAAGCCUGCUGGUGGUGAUUUCGGAGAAGUCUUGAAUUCAACUGCAAGCGCUAGUGCCACCACCACGGAGCCUCUUCCAGAGCAGACACAGGAGAGCCUGUGAGCCCCCCACCUUUGUUCUGCUACUCACUGCCAGAUGCUGCAAGCGAGAUCCAAGCACAUCUUGUCAACAUUCAUUGCCAUGAACUUCCACCAGAUGUGCUUUUGUUGAGCUUUACAUAUUCCUUU
rnacentral:lncRNA from 1 species